GACGAACGCUGGCGGCGUGCUUAACACAUGCAAGUCGAACGAUGAUGCUGGAGCUUGCUCCAGUUGAUUAGUGGCGAACGGGUGAGUAACACGUGAGCAAUCUGCCCUUGACUCUGGGAUAACUGCGGGAAACUGUAGCUAAUACCGGAUACUUUCACCGGAAGGCAUCUUCUGGUGAUGAAAGAAUUUCGGUCAGGGAUGAGCUCGCGGCCUAUCAGCUUGUUGGUGAGGUAACGGCUCACCAAGGCGACGACGGGUAGCCGGCCUGAGAGGGGGACCGACCACAGGGGGAACAGACCACGGCCCAGACUCCUAGGGGAGGAAGCAGUGGGGAAUUUGACACAAUGGGGGAAAGCCAGAUGCAGAACCGCGGCGGGAGGGAGGAGGGCCUUCGGGUUGUAAACCUUUUUUAGAAGGGAAGAAGCGAAAGUGACGGUACCGGCAGAAAAAGCACCGGCUAACUACGUGCCAGCCGCCGCGGUAA
rnacentral:rRNA from 1 species